GAGGUUGUAUGUGGUAGUGUUUCUUCUGUGGAGUUUAUUGCAUUCUCUGAGUGUGCAGCUCCUAUAGACUGUUUCUCAUUUGCCCCUGCAGACCAAUUAUUUGCACAUCUCUUUCUGAAGGCAAGCUACAGAGACCCGCCAAGUUUGGUGGUAUUUCAAGAGGCAUGUUUUCUGAUGAAUCCUUUCAUCCUUAUAACACGAUGCAGCAAGACUGCCAAAUUGGCCACAUCUGGCUGUCCUUUCACGACCUCCCACAUUUUCAGCCAUGAGAAAGAGAAUAGCACCCUUUUGUACAGCACAAGGGACUGUCUAUAAAUACAUAGCAGUUUAGGGACACUAUGACUAGAACUGGGCAAAUAGAUUUUUGGUUCUCUGGCAAUUGCAAAAAAAAUAGUUAGAUGUUUGGGUUUUUUUUCUAACUUAAACAAUUUGGCAAAAUCAGCACAAGUUCACAUGCUAUCUGUGUUGCCAAAUCUGCGCUUUUCACCAAAAAAUAAGUUUUGAUUAAAAAAAUUCACAUAGUUGUAACUGUGACUGUUUAUCUUGCUAAAAUAAUGAGAAAUCAGCCCCUUCGGAAAAAACUCAGGGCUGAUAGUUAAGGCUUGUUUGGUGCAGGGGGAGAGGUUAAGAGAGGUGGUGGAGGGAGAGAAAAAUCGGUCUGUGUUGAGGUUCCUCUUGAAGUUUAAAGUUUGUCUAACUCCAUCUCCAAGCUAACCUGAAGAGAUUGGGUUAUGUCCUUUCCUUGGGUUCAGUUUGUGAACCAAAUGCUGCAGGAUUGCUAUGAUCCUGGCUAGGUGCAGUACUUAGCUCUGGGUUGGGUUGGUUGCUUUAGCUUCCCCCUUCUAGAUGGAGAUCAGCAUGGUUUUGAUAAGAACUUCCAUGAUGAGAGGGAUGAUCUGUGUUACUCCAGAUAUGAGUGGGAGAGGGGAGGCACAUAAUGAGUAUUUGGGAUGAUUUCCUGUCUUCUUCUUCAUCUUAAACAAAGAAGGAAAAGGGGAGGAAUCAGUUGUAUUUUCCACCCUAUCCCCUGCUUGCUUUGUAUAUAGAACACCCCUGAGUAAUAUGUGUGAAAGUGUUGCUUGCUUGGGUGCCUGUGGAAAGGCAGGCUUAGAAAGAAAAAACAGGCCCAAAUAAAUGAGGAGUAAAAGUGUAAUGACAUCAGUGGAGAUACACCAGUAUAAAAUUAGUGCAAGUGAGAUUGGAAUCAGACCUGCUGUACUGAGGUUGGAAUACAGUUGGAGAAGAUUGUGUGUAACAAACACUGUUGAGACAAAGUGGAUAUAAUUUACCUGAGCUUCUGGAAAAGUAUCAACACCAAUACUGACCCUACACAGAUGGUCAGUAAAUAUGAUACAUUUAUUGGAGUGAUUGCAGAAAAUUUGUCGCUAGUUUAUCUCCAACUGAAGUUAUUGGGAACAGAUAGGGCUCAGCAUAUCCAAGCCGGUGUUUAGCACCUUGAAGGAUAGAGCUGUUGGUUUCUUCAUUUGCCUUGCUACUUACCUCAAUGGGGCUGAGAUGUGGGUUAACUAAUGUUUGUACUGGCUGUUGAAAAAUGUGAACUGUGUUGAGCAUUGCUGGUAUUUCUGUCUAGUUAGUAGCUCUAACCAUUACAGCCAAUAAUGCCCCAUGCAAAACACUUUUGACUGAGCUUUGUUGGCUCAUAAUAAAUCAUAGCUUUAUUUCUCACAUUUAAGGUUCAUUUUCUUCUGUGCCCUGCCAGAAUGAAUGACGUGCCAUUCUU